rnacentral:rRNA from 1 species
GGGUUGUGAGGUUAAGCGACUAAGCGUACACGGUGGAUGCCUAGGCAGUCAGAGGCGAUGAAGGGCGUGCUAAUCUGCGAAAAGCGUCGGUAAGCUGAUAUGAAGCGUUAUAACCGACGAUACCCGAAUGGGGAAACCCAGUGCAAUACGUUGCACUAUCGUUAGAUGAAUACAUAGUCUAACGAGGCGAACCGGGGGAACUGAAACAUCUAAGUACCCCGAGGAAAAGAAAUCAACCGAGAUUCCCCCAGUAGCGGCGAGCGAACGGGGAGGAGCCCAGAGUCUGAAUCAGUUUGUGUGUUAGUGGAAGCGUCUGGAAAGUCGCACGGUACAGGGUGAUAGUCCCGUACACCAAAAUGCACAGGCUGUGAACUCGAUGAGUAGGGCGGGACACGUGACAUCCUGUCUGAAUAUGGGGGGACCAUCCUCCAAGGCUAAAUACUCCUGACUGACCGAUAGUGAACCAGUACCGUGAGGGAAAGGCGAAAAGAACCCCGGCGAGGGGAGUGAAAUAGAACCUGAAACCGUGUACGUACAAGCAGUGGGAGCACCUUCGUGGUGUGACUGCGUACCUUUUGUAUAAUGGGUCAGCGACUUAUAUUUUGUAGCAAGGUUAACCGAAUAGGGGAGCCGUAGGGAAACCGAGUCUUAACUGGGCGUCUAGUUGCAAGGUAUAGACCCGAAACCCGGUGAUCUAGCCAUGGGCAGGUUGAAGGUUGGGUAACACUAACUGGAGGACCGAACCGACUAAUGUUGAAAAAUUAGCGGAUGACUUGUGGCUGGGGGUGAAAGGCCAAUCAAACCGGGAGAUAGCUGGUUCUCCCCGAAAGCUAUUUAGGUAGCGCCUCGUGAACUCAUCUUCGGGGGUAGAGCACUGUUUCGGCUAGGGGGCCAUCCCGGCUUACCAAACCGAUGCAAACUCCGAAUACCGAAGAAUGUUAUCACGGGAGACACACGGCGGGUGCUAACGUCCGUCGUGAAGAGGGAAACAACCCAGACCGCCAGCUAAGGUCCCAAAGUCAUGGUUAAGUGGGAAACGAUGUGGGAAGGCACAGACAGCCAGGAUGUUGGCUUAGAAGCAGCCAUCAUUUAAAGAAAGCGUAAUAGCUCACUGGUCGAGUCGGCCUGCGCGGAAGAUGUAACGGGGCUAAACCAUGCACCGAAGCUGCGGCAGCGACACUUAGGUGUUGUUGGGUAGGGGAGCGUUCUGUAAGCCGUUGAAGGUGACCUGUGAGGGUUGCUGGAGGUAUCAGAAGUGCGAAUGCUGACAUAAGUAACGAUAAUGCGGGUGAAAAACCCGCACGCCGGAAGACCAAGGGUUCCUGUCCAACGUUAAUCGGGGCAGGGUGAGUCGACCCCUAAGGCGAGGCUGAAAAGCGUAGUCGAUGGGAAACAGGUUAAUAUUCCUGUACUUGGUGUUACUGCGAAGGGGGGACGGAGAAGGCUAGGCUGGCCGGGCGACGGUUGUCCCGGUUUAAGCGUGUAGGGGGAGUGACCAGGUAAAUCCGGUUGCUUAUCAACCCUGAGGCGUGAUGACGAUGCACCACGGUGCAGAAGCAGUUGAUGCCAUGCUUCCAGGAAAAGCCUCUAAGCAUCAGGUAACAUUAAAUCGUACCCCAAACCGACACAGGUGGUCAGGUAGAGAAUACUCAGGCGCUUGAGAGAACUCGGGUGAAGGAACUAGGCAAAAUGGUGCCGUAACUUCGGGAGAAGGCACGCUGGCGUUAGGUGAAAGGACUAGCUCCUGGAGCUGAAGCCAGUCGCAGAUACCAGCUGGCUGCAACUGUUUAAUAAAAACACAGCACUGUGCAAACACGAAAGUGGACGUAUACGGUGUGACGCCUGCCCGGUGCUGGAAGGUUAAUUGAUGGGGUCAGCCGCAAGGCGAAGCUCUUGAUCGAAGCCCCAGUAAACGGCGGCCGUAACUAUAACGGUCCUAAGGUAGCGAAAUUCCUUGUCGGGUAAGUUCCGACCUGCACGAAUGGCGUAAUGAUGGCCAGGCUGUCUCCACCCGAGACUCAGUGAAAUUGAACUCGCUGUGAAGAUGCAGUGUACCCGCGGCAAGACGGAAAGACCCCGUGAACCUUUACUAUAGCUUGACACUGAACAUUGAGCCUUGAUGUGUAGGAUAGGUGGGAGGCCUUGAAGUGUGGACGCCAGUCUGCAUGGAGCCAACCUUGAAAUACCACCCUUUAAUGUUUGAUGUUCUAACUCGGCCCCAUGAUCUGGGGUGAGGACAGUGUCUGGUGGGUAGUUUGACUGGGGCGGUCUCCUCCCAAAGAGUAACGGAGGAGCACGAAGGUUAGCUAAUCACGGUCGGACAUCGUGAGGUUAGUGCAAAGGCAUAAGCUAGCUUGACUGCGAGAGUGACGGCUCGAGCAGGUACGAAAGUAGGUCUUAGUGAUCCGGUGGUUCUGAAUGGAAGGGCCAUCGCUCAACGGAUAAAAGGUACUCCGGGGAUAACAGGCUGAUACCGCCCAAGAGUUCAUAUCGACGGCGGUGUUUGGCACCUCGAUGUCGGCUCAUCACAUCCUGGGGCUGAAGUAGGUCCCAAGGGUAUGGCUGUUCGCCAUUUAAAGUGGUACGCGAGCUGGGUUUAGAACGUCGUGAGACAGUUCGGUCCCUAUCUGCCGUGGGCGUUGGAAGAUUGAGAGGGGCUGCUCCUAGUACGAGAGGACCGGAGUGGACGAAUCACUGGUGUUCGGGUUGUCAUGCCAAUGGCAUUGCCCGGUAGCUAAAUUCGGAAGAGAUAACCGCUGAAAGCAUCUAAGCGGGAAACUUGCCUCGAGAUGAGUCUUCCCUGGGGCUUUAAGCCCCCUGAAGGAACGUUAAAGACUAUGACGUUGAUAGGCUGGGUGUGUAAGUGCAGCGAUGUAUUGAGCUAACCAGUACUAAUGAUCCGUGAGGCUUAACCUUACAACACCGAAGGUGUUU